UACAGGUAGGGGAAGAGCAGCACCCGGCAGCACAGGAAGCUGAGCAGCAUCAGGGCCCCGUUCACCUUGUGCAGCAGCGUGUGCUGCUGCUUGUACUGAGGGAACACGGACACCGUGGCCGCCGCGGCAGAAGGGCUCGGCCCCCCUUGGCCCUCUCCCUGCCUCCCUGCAACCCUAGCAGGCAGCUCCUCCCAGACCGGACACUUUGCCAGGACACAAGCACGAGCUCAAAAGGCAAGGGGUGAGGGGGGGAAUGACGAAGGGGCCAGAGCCCUUGGCAGCAACCCUGAAGGUCCCUCCCUUACCCGUGCCCCCCCAUCGGGCUCCCGCACCCUCCCGUGCUCACUCACCUGGAUGAGGAUCUUGCCAAGGCAGACGAAGGGUGUGCUGACCUCUGCCAUCAACAUGCAACCCAGAAAGAAGUCUCCCUUCCCCUGUCGCCACACCUGAGCACACAGGCAGGAAGGUGAGGAAACUGAGGCUCAGAGAUGUGCAACCACAGAUCCAAAGUCCUGCAGCCGGGCACUGUCCAGCCCGGGGCCAGGCUGCCCCCACACCCUGGUGCCCCUGGGCUGGUGCUCAGUGAACCCUGCCUGUCCACAACUUUCCCUGGAAACGUGCUGGGUCUGCUUGGCUGCCAGUACCCAGACCCAGGGCUUCCCGGGUUCCUGCCAGCACCAGUGGGACCAAGGAGCAGGCCACCCACACCCCACCCUCCCAGCUCCCCGGGACUCACCACCGACAGCGGGAAGCACACCAGCACCAUGGCGGCAUGGUGGAGCACCAUGAGGAACUCCUUGUGCAGGGACAGCCAGGCAUUAAGGGGAAAAUGCAGAACAAAAGGAGCCAAGGACAGAGAAAGUUCCAUGUACUUGGAGAGUAAACAAAAAUGAGAAAUGGAUGAAUAGACAAGACAGCAUUUUUCUUCUGGAGU